UCUACCUGAUGUAGAUAAGUCACCUAAAGGGCUUAUUUUAUUGGAAAUAAGCCUAGGGCUGGGUUAUGUAGGCGUUGGGCCUUUGAUCCCAUAGGUUUUCUUCAUAAUAGACCACUUUAAUGAGCCUGAAAUAUGGGUAGAAAGUAGGAAAACGGGAUUUACUUCAUUAGUUUAGUUAGAGUCCAGCUUUGAGUCAAUUUCUUUCACUAUUUUAGUUUCCUAAUCAAUUUA